CCUAGAGCUUCGCUCCUCUCUUACCGCCGCCACCACUCCCGUGCAUGAUCCCCCUUCUCCCCCGCGAGCCCUCUCUCUGUCCCGCUCCCGUGACUCCUCUGCCACCGUCACCUGUGCCGCACGAUUCCGGCGAGUUGAUGCGGCUCUUGCCGGUGCGCAGCACACCUUUGGGGUCCCCUCGUACCACUCUCUCAUCCCCUCCCGUCAGAUCCAUCUCUCGCGCCCGCAACCCUCACCCAUGGUGGACCUCGUUGAUGAUGCGCCCCUCACGAGAUCCCUGCCGACCUGCUCAUCCCCUCCUCCAUGUCCAGGUGCUCGUGGAUCUCACCGUCGGGGCUCCUUCCCGGAUCUGUUCGCAAGUCCCCAGCCUCAACCAGCGACGCUAACCACCACCACCACCCCUCUCACGUCGUCGUUCGACAGCAGGCCACCUCCUUGGCCAUCGUCCGCGACACCUUAUUCUCCACCAAGGAAGUGUUCAAGAGCCACCAUGCCGCCUCGACUCCCCGGAUGUCGCCGUCGUCCUCUUCCACAUCCUGCACCCUCUCCAUACAUGGUCAUCUGCCCCUAUGCGUCCUACAACCACCGCGACGACAGGCUUUACCCUGGAGGCAGGGGAACAUAGUACACGCGACGCCGGUGUUGUUGUUGUUGGUCGGGCGGUGGUCAGAUCCACCAUGGCCACAACUGGCAUCCUCUCCCUCCUUAUCCAGCUUCCUCCCACGACUGAGAAGAGGGCUUCGUUAGGGAUCCCACAAUGGAGGUCAACAUGGAGGUAGCUUCCUCCCAUCCCAGAUUGACCAUCCGUCAAUGAAGGCCAUGAGAGCAGCGUGGGCGCACACAUGGCUGCGCUUCAAGUUGUAGCUUGAUAGAUGCAGGCACGUCACCAUGGGGAAAGUCAAGGUCUUCCUUCUCCUCCCAUUUUGUCUGAUCCGCCAGAGCCAGCCAUCCCCGACGCCUUGCACCAUGGCGGUGGUAAGACCAUGACCCCGUCAUUCUUCCUUGCGGGGAGCGGGCAGCUACAGCGAGUGCACAGCAGCGGCGACCAUCUCACAAGCAAAGCCAACACUGAUACUGGGACCAGGCCCGUGGCGGCGAGGGACUACUACGACAUGCUCGGCAUGAAGAAGGAUGUCAUCUAGGGCAAGAUCAAGAAGGCAUAUUACGCGGCAUGCAUGAAGAGGAAGGCAGUAGAACUUGAAGCUGCACAAGUCGAAUGCGACAAGUCGUAUGAGCUGCUGCUCAACAAGGCGGAAGAAAAUGAUGUGGAGUACGUUCAGUUGAUGGCGCUGCUUGGAGCCAAAAAAGGGAACUAGGUGGUUUUGGUAAUAGAUUUUGGUAGCAGUACUUGAUAACAGAUCUUGGAAUUAGAUUUUGGUAGCAGUUCUUGUGCACUUGAUAACUAGGUGGUUUUCGUAUUCGAUUUUGGUUGUGCUACAAAUUUAUGGUGUUGGCUAAGAUUUGUGGUUGUGCUAUAUAUUUUGAUUGUGCUACAGAUUUAUGGUGUGGGCUAUAUAUUAUUAGAUUUAUGGUGUGGGCUAUA